rnacentral:rRNA from 1 species
GAUGAACGCUAGCGGCAGGCCUAACACAUGCAAGUCGAGGGGCAGCACGUCUUCGGAUGGUGGCGACCGGCGCACGGGUGCGUAACGCGUAUGCAACCUACCUCUUACAGUGGGAUAGCCCAGAGAAAUUUGGAUUAAUACCGCAUAGUAUACAGAUUCAGCAUUGGGACUGUAUUAAACAUUUAUGGGUAAGAGAUGGGCAUGCGUUCUAUUAGUUAGUUGGAGUGGUAACGGCACCCCAAGACAGCGAUAGAUAGGGGCCCGUGAGAGGGGGAGUCCCCCACCACUGGUACUGAGACACGGACCAGACUCCUACGGGAGGCAGCAGUGAGGAAUAUUGGACAAUAGGGCGGAGAGCCUCGAUCCAGCCACUGCCGCGUGCAGGAAGACGGCCC